rfam:Felis catus isolate Cinnamon breed Abyssinian chromosome E1, whole genome shotgun sequence.
GGAGAUAGAAAGUAAAGUUGAGGCUAAAUAGGAAAUACCAUAAGGGAAAGAUGAAAGAAAAAUUGAAAGCACUAUACAGCAAAGAUUACCCCUUGUACCUUUUGCAUAAUGAAUUAUCUAGAAUAACCUAACAAAGAGAACUUAAGCUAGGCUCCCCAAAACCAGAUGAGCUGCCUAUGAACAAUCCUUACAAGAUGAACUCAGCUAUGUUGCAAAAUAGUGAGAAGAUUUGUAGGUAGAAGUGAAAAGCCUAACAGGCCUGGUGAUAGCUGGUUACCCAGAACAGAAUUUUAGUUCAACUUUAAUUUUUUUUAACGUUUAUUUUUGAAGGGGAGAGAGUGGGGGAGGGGCAGAGAGAGAGGGAGACACAGAAUCCGAAACAGGCUGCAGGCUCUGAGCCAUCAGCACAGAGUCCGAUGCGGGGCUUGAACCCAAAAACUGUGAGAUCAUGACCUGGGCUGAAGUCGGACACUUAACCAACUGAGCCACCCAGGCGCCCCUGGUUCAACUUUAAACUUACCUAAAAACACCAAAAAUUCUUUUUUUCUUAAAUUUUUUAACAUUUAUUCAAUCUUAGAGACAGAGAGAGACAGAGUGUGAGUGGGGGAGGGGCAGAGAGAGAGAGGGAGACACUCUGAAGCAGGCUUCAGGCUCUAAACUGUCAGCACAGAGCCCGAUGUGGGGCUCGAACUCACAGACCAUGAGAUCAUGACCCGAGCUGAAGUCAGACACUUAACCGGCUGAGCCACCCAGGUGCCCCAAAACCCCAAAAAUUCUAAUGUAAGUUUAAAAUAUAAUCUUAAAAGGUACAGCUUUUUAGAACUAGGAUACAACCAUUUUUAGAGAGUAAGCAUAAACAUAACCAUAGUUGGUUUAAAAGCAGCCAUCAAUUAAGAAAGCAUUCAAGCUCAAUAAUUAAAACAUCUUAAUAUCAAAAAUAUGCAAUCAACUCCUAACUCAAUACUGGGUUAAUCUAUCUAGCAAUAGAAGCAAUAAUGCUAAUAUGAGUAACAAGAAAUAUUUCCCCUGAUCCUUAUGCCAGAGCAGAUAACCACUGGUAGCUAACAACAAGAUAAAAAUAAUCUAGCCUAUAAACUAAACAUCAAACCAAUUGUUGAUCCAACACAGGCAUGCAACCAAGGAAAGAUUAAAAGAAGUAAGGAACCUGGCAAACAUAAACCCUGCCUGUUUACUAAAAACAUCACCUCUAGCACUUCUAGUAUUAGAGGCACUGCCUGCCCAGUGACAUUCAUUAAAUGGCUGCAGUAUCCUGACUGUACAAAGGUAUCAUAAUCACUUGUGCCCUAAAUAGGGACUUGUAUGAACAGCCACACGAGGGUUUUACUCUCUUACUUCCAAUCCGUGAAAUUGACUUCCUGUGAAGAGGCGGAAAUACAACAAUAAGACGAGAAGACCCUAUGGAGCUUUAAUUAACCGACCCAAAGAGACCAUAUGAACCAACCGACAGGAACAACAAACCUCUAUAUGGGCCGGCAAUUUAGGUUGGGGUGACCUCGGAGAAUAAAACAACCUCCGAGUGAUUUAAAUCUAGACUAACCAGUCGAAAGUAUCACAUCACUUAUUGAUCCAAAAACCUUGAUCAACGGAACAAGUUACCCUAGGGAUAACAGCGCAAUCCUAUUUCAGAGUCCAUAUCGACAAUAGGGUUUACGACCUCGAUGUUGGAUCAGGACAUCCCGAUGGUGCAGCAGCUAUCAAAGGUUCGUUUGUUCAACGAUUAAAGUCCUACGUGAUCUGAGUUCAGACCGGAGUAAUCCAGGUCGGUUUCUAUCUAUUUAAUAACUUCUCCCA